UGGGGAAUAUUGGGCAAUGGGAGGCAACUCUGACCCAGCAAUGCCGCGUGAAUGAAGAAGGUCUUCGGAUUGUAAAGUUCUUUAAUCAGGGACGAAGAAAAUGACGGUACCUGAGGAAUAAGCCACGGCAAACUAUGUGCCAGCAGCCGCGGUAAUACAUAGGUGGCAAGCGUUGUCCGGAAUGACUGGGCGUAAAGGGAGCGUAGGCGGUCUGUUAAGUUGGGAGUGAAAUCCCGGGGCUCAACCCCGGAACUGCUUUCAAGACUGACGGACUUGAGUGUAAGAGGGGGAAGCGGAAUUCCUAGUGUAGCGGUGGAAUGCGUAGAUAUUAGGAGGAACACCAGUGGCGAAGGCGGCUUUCUGGAUUACAACUGACGCUGAGGCUCGAAAGCGUGGUAGCAAACAGGAUUAGAUACCCUGGUAGU
rnacentral:rRNA from 1 species